rnacentral:tmRNA from 1 species
GGGGAUGCCAGGCAUCGAUAAUAAAAUUUUCUUCUAAGCAGGCAGAAGCGAGUUUCAAGCCGUCGCUUUAAUCACGCUUGAAAACAUAAUAAGUGCCAAAAACUUAUUGAGCAAACUGACGUUCUCUUGGAGAAUGCCGGCUUUUGCUCCCGUUGCCGCUUAAUCGCCGCAACCAUCCGCCCGGCUUAGCCUAAUGGUCGGAUCACGGGUGUCAUUAUUUAGGCUCGGACAGCCGUUCGCUUCAGGCGGUUGUUUUAAAAAAUUGAAGCUGGCCGCGGCCGAUUUUGUUCGGUUUUUACGGGCGCGGCGAGAACUUAAACCGAUCUAAUCUGUAAACCUGCUUUAAGGAAUUUAUUAGACAGGGGUUCAAUUCCCCUCAUCUCCACCA